rnacentral:rRNA from 1 species
GUGGGGAAUAUUGGACAAUGGGCGCAAGCCUGAUCCAGCCAUGCCGCGUGAGUGAUGAAGGCCCUAGGGUUGUAAAGCUCUUUCACCGGAGAAGAUAAUGACGGUAUCCGGAGAAGAAGCCCCGGCUAACUUCGUGCCAGCAGCCGCGGUAAUACGAAGGGGGCUAGCGUUGUUCGGAAUUACUGGGCGUAAAGCGCACGUAGGCGGACAUUUAAGUCAGGGGUGAAAUCCCGGAGCUCAACUCCGGAACUGCCUUUGAUACUGGGUGUCUGGAGUAUGGAAGAGGUGAGUGGAAUUCCGAGUGUAGAGGUGAAAUUCGUAGAUAUUCGGAGGAACACCAGUGGCGAAGGCGGCUCACUGGUCCAUUACUGACGCUGAGGUGCGAAAGCGUGGGGAGCAAACAGGAUUAGAAACCCUUGUAGUCC